UUGGCUCUAUUUAUUGAGAUUAUCUGAAUUUUGUUGAUGGAUAUUUGAUUAUGAACUUUUAGCAGAUUUGAUUAUGAUUGUUUUGGAUGAUAUAAGUCUGAUUUUAGUUUGAACAGGCUUUUCUAAUCCAAAUAGUAGCCUUAGAUGUUUACAGUUGAUAAAAUUAGGUGAAUGUACUCUACUAAGCUUCUCAACAUAAUGAAAUCCUAUAUAUGUUGAAUAUUGUUGGUGCCACUGAAAUUUAUCCUACCAAGUACCAAAAGUAAGAUUCAAGAUACCUAUUAAUCAAGUUUCGUUUGCAGUCUUUGCUUCGCGUAGAGAUCUGUCGCAUGCUCAUAAUUAUCAUCCUGAUUUGUAUUGAUAGCUGUUACAUGUAAAUUUAAUUGAAGGCUUACAUUACUAGUUAUUGUAAUUGAAGUUGAUCAACAAGACUCUGUAUUGGAGCCUUGAUAGUCAAUAGAAAAUGACAGGAAAGGAGGUUGACUGGAAGUGUUGUUGUGAAGGAAUCCCAGACAUCACACUACUCUGACAACACACUUUAAAGUACAAAAUAAUCAACUAGCUACAAUAGCUUUACACUUUUUGGGUGCAAAAUCAUAAGUUUUCCUUUUCCAAACCCAGAUUACCUAAUUGUUAGGUUCAGGAUCUAAAGAUUGAAGCCACUAGAUCUAGGCAAUGUUAAACAAAAGAAGACUGUUGUUUAUUUGAAUAAGUUUGAAGCUGAAAUGCGAGGCGAAUUCGGGAUUGGCUCUGCUGCUCAAUAUGGUUCUGCUGAUUUAAAGAAAGCUGUUCAUGUCAAUGAAAAUUUCAGAAGGGCAAAUUUCACAUCAGCAGAUAUGAGGGAAUCAGAUUUCAGUGGUUCAACAUUCAAUGGUGCAUACCUUGAGAAAGCUGUUGCUUACAAAGCCAAUUUCUCUUGUGCUGAUUUUAGUGAUACGCUGAUGGAUCGUAUGAAAUAUUGUUGAUUAUAUAAGCAAAUCUUGUGAAUUAUUGGACAUCCAGUUCUCAGUUUCAUUGAUUAGAGAUUAGUUUUGGUAAGGAAAAGGCUUGUUGCUUUAAUACUCAAGCAUGUUAUCCUCAAAUUUCAUGUCUUAAAUAAAGCAAAUCUUACUAAUGUUGUUCUUGUAAGAUCAGUCCUUACUCGAAGUGUCCUUACUGGAACUCUUAUUCAAGGUGCUGAUUUUAGUGAUGCUGUUCUUGACUAUCCCCAGAAACUGGCUCUUUGCAAGUAUGCAAGUGGAACGAAUUCAAUAACAGGAGUAAGCACAAGAAUAAGCUUAGGUUGUGGAAACAAACGAAGAAAUGCAUAUGGUAGUCCUUACUCGAAGUGUCCUUGCUAGUGCUCUUAUUUCUAUUCUGGUGAUGAUAUAGUACGAAAAGGAAUUGUGUAGCUUGUUGAUUUAGGUCAUGUAAAACUCACCAAAGGCCAAAUAUUAUGAAGUAACUGGCCUAACUGCUAAUUGAUGUUACCUUUGGUGCUAUUAUCCACUAUGGUCUUUAUAUAGUUAUUUUUUAUUUGUUUUACUUUCAUUUACCUUUGUAUGGUUGGUGAUAAGCUUGUUGCCAUAUUUAUAUAAUUACUUAGCUGA